rnacentral:rRNA from 1 species
GUUAUAUGGUCAAGCGAAUAAGCGCACACGGUGGAUGCCUAGGCGGUCAGAGGCGAUGAAGGACGUGGUAGCCUGCGAAAAGUGUCGGGGAGCUGGCAACAAGCUUUGAUCCGGCAAUAUCCGAAUGGGGAAACCCACUGCUUCGGCAGUAUCCUGCAGUGAAUUCAUAGCUGCUGGAAGCGAACCCGGUGAACUGAAAUAUCUAAGUAACCGGAGGAAAAGAAAUCAACCGAGAUUCCCUAAGUAGUGACGAGCGAACGGGGAGCAGCCCUUAAGCUGGAAUGGCUUUAGAAAAACAAUCUGGAAAGAUUGGCCAUAGAAGGUGAUAGCCCUGUAUUUAAAAGGGCCACUCCAGUGAAGACGAGUAGGGCGGGGCACGUGAAACCCUGUCUGAAUAUGGGGGGACCAUCCUCCAAGGCUAAAUACUCCUGACCGACCGAUAGUGAACCAGUACCGUGAGGGAAAGGCGAAAAGAACCCCGGAGAGGGGAGUGAAAUAGAUCCUGAAACCGUGUGCGUACAAGCAGUAGGAGCUCGCAAGAGUGACUGCGUACCUUUUGUAUAAUGGGUCAGCGACUUACUGUUCGUGGCAAGCUUAACCGUAUAGGGGAGGCGAAGGGAAACCGAGUCUGAUAAGGGCGCAUAGUCGCGGGCAGUAGACCCGAAACCGGGUGAUCUAGUCAUGGCCAGGGUGAAGGUGCCGUAACAGGUACUGGAGGCCCGAACCCACGUCUGUUGCAAAAGACGGGGAUGAGCUGUGAUUAGGAGUGAAAAGCUAAUCGAACCCGGAGAUAGCUGGUUCUCCUCGAAAGCUAUUUAGGUAGCGCCUCGGACGAAUACUACUGGGGGUAGAGCACUGUUAUGGCUAGGGGGUCAUCGCGACUUACCAAACCAUUGCAAACUCCGAAUACCAGUACGUACUAUCCGGGAGACACACGGCGGGUGCUAACGUCCGUCGUGAAAAGGGAAACAACCCAGACCCACAGCUAAGGUCCCAAAUUCACUGCUAAGUGGAAAACGAUGUGGAAAGGCAUAGACAGCCAGGAGGUUGGCUUAGAAGCAGCCACCCUUUAAAGAAAGCGUAAUAGCUCACUGGUCGAGUCGGUCUGCGCGGAAGAUUUAACGGGGCUAAGCAGUGAACCGAAGCUUGGGGUGCGUAAAACUUCGGUUUUAUGCGCGGUAGAGGAGCGUUCCGUAAGCCUGCGAAGGUGGAUUGAGAAGUCUGCUGGAGGUAUCGGAAGUGCGAAUGCUGACAUGAGUAACGAUAAUGCGGGUGAAAAGCCCGCACGCCGAAAGCCCAAGGUUUCCUUGCGCAACGUUAAUCGACGCAGGGUUAGUCGGUCCCUAAGGCGAGGGCGAAAGCCGUAGUCGAUGGGAAGCAGGUUAAUAUUCCUGCACCUCGCGUGAGUGCGAUGGAGGGACGGAGAAGGUUAGGUGUACCGGGCGUUGGUUGUCCCGGGGAAAGGCGGUAGGUUUGGAUCUUUGGCAAAUCCGGGACCCUUUAAGACCGAGCACCGAGACGAGCCUUUAUGGCGAAGUCACUGAUACCACGCUUCCAGGAAAAGCUCCUAAGCUUCAGCUCACGAAGACCGUACCGUAAACCGACACAGGUGGGUAGGAUGAGAAUUCUCAGGCGCUUGAGAGAACUCGGGUGAAGGAACUAGGCAACAUGGCACCGUAACUUCGGGAGAAGGUGCACCCUUUUUGGUGGCUCAUGCGAGCUAUAGCUGAAGAGGGUCGCAGAAACCAGGCCGCUGCGACUGUUUAUCAAAAACACAGCACUCUGCAAACACGAAAGUGGACGUAUAGGGUGUGACGCCUGCCCGGUGCUGGAAGGUUAAUUGAUGGGGUCAGCCGCAAGGCGAAGCUCUUGAUCGAAGCCCCAGUAAACGGCGGCCGUAACUAUAACGGUCCUAAGGUAGCGAAAUUCCUUGUCGGGUAAGUUCCGACCUGCACGAAUGGCGUAACGACAGCGGCGCUGUCUCCACCCGAGACUCAGUGAAAUUGAAAUCGCUGUGAAGAUGCAGCGUUCCCGUGGCAAGACGGAAAGACCCCGUGAACCUUUACUAUAGCUUUACACUGAACGUUGAGUUCGUCUGUGUAGGAUAGGUGGGAGGCUAUGAAACUGUGGCGCUAGCUGCAGUGGAGCCAUCCUUGAAAUACCACCCUGUCGUGCUUGACGUUCUAACCUAGGUCCGUUAUCCGGAUCAGGGACCGUGUAUGGUGGGUAGUUUGACUGGGGCGGUCUCCUCCUAAAGAGUAACGGAGGAGCACGAAGGUACGCUCAGCGCGGUCGGACAUCGCGCACUGUGUGCAAAGGCAUAAGCGUGCUUGACUGCAAGAUCGACGGAUCAAGCAGGUACGAAAGUAGGUCUUAGUGAUCCGGUGGUUCUGUAUGGAAGGGCCAUCGCUCAACGGAUAAAAGGUACUCCGGGGAUAACAGGCUGAUACCGCCCAAGAGUUCAUAUCGACGGCGGUGUUUGGCACCUCGAUGUCGGCUCAUCACAUCCUGGGGCUGUAGUCGGUCCCAAGGGUAUGGCUGUUCGCCAUUUAAAGUGGUACGCGAGCUGGGUUCAGAACGUCGUGAGACAGUUCGGUCCCUAUCUGCCAUGGGCGUUGGAAGUUUGAGAGGGGCUGCUCCUAGUACGAGAGGACCGGAGUGGACGAACCUCUGGUGUUCCGGUUGUCACGCCAGUGGCAUUGCCGGGUAGCUAUGUUCGGAAGCGAUAACCGCUGAAAGCAUCUAAGCGGGAAGCGCGCCUCAAGAUGAGACUUCCCGGGGCACAAGCCCCCUAAAGGAACCAUGUAGACUACGUGGUUGAUAGGUCAGGUGUGUAAGUACAGCAAUGUAUUGAGCUAACUGAUACUAAUGAUCCGUGCGGCUUGACCAUAUAACCUCA